ACGCUGGCGGCAGGCCUAACACAUGCAAGUCGAGCGGAAACGACAACAUUGACCCUUCGGGUGAUUUGUUGGGCGUCGAGCGGCGGACGGGUGAGUAAUGCCUGGGAAAUUGCCCUGAUGUGGGGGAUAACCAUUGGAAACGAUGGCUAAUACCGCAUAAUAGCUUCGGCUCAAAGAGGGGGACCUUCGGGCCUCUCGCGUCAGGAUAUGCCCAGGUGGGAUUAGCUAGUUGGUGAGGUAAGGGCUCACCAAGGCAACGAUCCCUAGCUGGUCUGAGAGGAUGAUCAGCCACACUGGAACUGAGACACGGUCCAGACUCCUACGGGAGGCAGCAGUGGGGAAUAUUGCACAAUGGGCGCAAGCCUGAUGCAGCCAUGCCGCGUGUAUGAAGAAGGCCUUCGGGUUGUAAAGUACUUUCAGCAGUGGGGAAGGUUCAUGCGUUAAUUGCGUAUGUAUUUGACGUUACCUCUCAAAAAAGCAGGGGUUUUCUCCGUGUCAGCAGACGGUG
rnacentral:rRNA from 2 species